rnacentral:rRNA from 1 species
UACGGGGGGAGCAAGCGUUGUUCGGAUUUACUGGGCGUAAAGGGCGGGUAGGCGGCCACCGCAAGUCAGUUGUGAAAUCUCCGGGCUUAACUCGGAAAGGUCAACUGAUACUGCGGGGCUAGAGUGCAGAAGGGGCAACCGGAAUCCUCGGUGUAGCGGUGAAAUGCGUAGAUAUCUGAAGGAACAUCAGUGGCGAAAGCGACUUCCUGGACGAAUACUGACGCUCAUGUGCGAAAGCGUGGGGAGCAAACAGG